CUCCUGGGCCGGGCUCUCCUGAGCGAAGAGCAUCGGGAAGAGGCUUCCGCGGCAGCCUGCGGCCCCCGCCCAGGCGAAGAGGCCGGGAGGAGAGGAGAUUCCCUUCUGAGAACGUUCAUUGAGCGUCGAUGUGAAGGCCACGGCAUUGAGAGACUUGGUAGAACUGUUUCUGUUUUUCUUUCCUUUAUUGAUCAAUUGAUUGAUUGAUUGCCAGGGCCGCGCUCUGUCGCCCAGACUGGAGUGCAGUAGCGCGAUCUCAGCUCACUGUAACUUCCGCCACCCAGGUUCAAGCGACUCUCGUGCCUCAGCGUCCCGAGUAGCAGGGACUACAGGCUCCCGCUGCCAAGCCCAGCUAAUUUUUGUAUUUUUAGUAGAGACGGGGUUUCGCCAUGUUGGCUAGGCUGGUCUCGAACUCCUGAC
rnacentral:lncRNA from 1 species